rnacentral:rRNA from 1 species
GGCAGACGGGUGAGUAACGCGUGGGAACGUGCCCUUCGGUUCGGAAUAACUCAGGGAAACUUGAGCUAAUACCGGAUACGUGCGAGAGCAGAAAGAUUUAUCGCCGAAGGAUCGGCCCGCGUCCGAUUAGCUAGUUGGUGAGGUAAUGGCUCACCAAGGCGACGAUCGGUAGCUGGUCUGAGAGGAUGAUCAGCCACACUGGGACUGAGACACGGCCCAGACUCCUACGGGAGGCAGCAGUGGGGAAUAUUGGACAAUGGGCGAAAGCCUGAUCCAGCCAUGCCGCGUGAGUGAUGAAGGCCCUAGGGUUGUAAAGCUCUUUCGCCAGGGACGAUAAUGACGGUACCUGGAUAAGAAGCCCCGGCUAACUUCGUGCCAGCAGCCGCGGUAAUACGAAGGGGGCUAGCGUUGUUCGGAUUUACUGGGCGUAAAGCGCACGUAGGCGGAUCUUUAAGUCAGGGGUGAAAUCCCGGGGCUCAACCUCGGAACUGCCUUUGAUACUGGAGGUCUCGAGUCCGGGAGAGGUGAGUGGAACUGC